rnacentral:rRNA from 1 species
GAAAGUGCUUUGCACUUUCACGAAACCGCACACACUACUUUGAAAAUAAAGUGGUGGAGGCCGCAGCGAAAGAUUCCCUGCCAACUGUUUACCAAAAACACAGCUCCGUGCGAACUCGUAAGAGGAUGUAUACGGGGUGACGCCUGACCAAUGCCAGAAGGUUAAAUACGGGUGGUGAUAUGACUUCGGUUGUAUUGCUGGCUUGUAUAAGCCCUGGUGAAUGUCGGCCGUAACUAUAACGGUCCUAAGGUUCCUCGCUUAUCAGCAAUGAUGAACGAGGAAGGACUAGGACUGUUAUAGAAAAAAGUAAACAAUUAAUUUAAAUUCAUUACAUGUUUAAGCUACCUGGCACGCAGUAAUGUGUGUUAGUCCAAUCAUGAUAAACGAGAGACCAACGUCAUGGACCCUACUUCGAAAGGAGAGGGUAAAGAUAGAGUCCAACUGAGAGGAAUAGUUGAGCGUAAUUCCUUGUCUGGUAAGUUCAGACGUGCACGAAUGGCGUAAUGAGUGGGGAACUGUCUCGAGAAGCAGCUCGGUGAAAAUACAAUACCGGUGAAGAUGCCGGUUACCUGCAGAUAGACGAAAAGACCCCGUGAGCUUUACUAUAGCUUGAUAUUGAAUAUGUUUUGUGUCUGCGUAGCAUAGUUGGGAGACUUUGAAGGAUAGGUUUCGGUUUAUCUGGAGUCAACAGUGAAAUACCAACCUUACUUGAGGCAUAUUCUAAUCUGUACGGAAAAAACGCACGGAGACAGUAUUUGGCGGGUAGUUUGAGUGGGGCGCUCUCCUCCUAAAAGGUAACGGAGGAGUCUAUUAAGGUCCUCUAGGCGCGAAUGGAAACCGUGCCGAUAGCGUAAUGGCAAAAGAGGGCUUAACUGCAAGACGGACAUGUCGAGCAGGUGCGAAAGCAGAGCAUAGUGAACCGACAACACGCUUUAGAUGCGGUUGAAGAUUAACGGAUAAAAGCUACCACGGGGAUAACAGGCUAGUUCUGCCCAAGAGUUCAUAUCGACGGCAGAGUUCGGCACCUCGAUGUCGGCUCAUCUUAUCCUGGAGGUGGAGAAGCUUCCAAGGGUUUGGCUGUUCGCCAAUUAAAAAGAUACGUGAGCUGGGUUCAGACCGUAGAGGAGUGAAAUAUAAAGAUUGUGCGCGUGUAAUUGUUUUCAUCUUUAUAUUUAACUUCUCUUAGUCUGAACCCGAGGCGAUGAGACUAAACUCAUCAAUAAUGACAUCAAAUCACGGCGGCUAUGCACAGUAAUGUGUAUAGACAAGCUGACUAAUUUCGGGAAAACCUAAACGAGCAAUCGUAUGGCAAUUCCGAGGGAAACAGUAGAGCAUACUGUGCCCGUAGAGACUAAACGUCAGCACCCCUUUCUAAAAAUUAGGGUUAUGCUAUAGUCCGAUCCCUCUUGAAAAAGAGGUUCAUACGGUUUGGAGACCAGAGUAUGAUGUAAAACACUAAUGCGUGAGACAGGUUGGUCUCCUAUCUUCUGCAGGCGUUGAAUUUUGAGGGGAUUUGCUCCUAGUAAGUAAUUGCUACUUUCAUGAGUAAUCAUGAUUGAAAAUGCUGCUCAUAACGGUGAAGCCUUCAUAUGGAUUUGGUCUAAGAAUUAUAAUACUUGAGGUCCUUGUGUUAUAAUUUGCUUGAGGACCAGAACCCUCUUUAAGGUAAUACCGUGGGAAGUCGAUCUAAAAUUAAAAAACAAUCGAAAUGAAAAAUUGGAUAAAAGAAAACUGGUUUAAGUUAGGUAUAUUAGUCAUAUUUUCCGUUCUUUCGUGGAGUAUGAUUAAUUUCAUGCAGCAAGCUGCUGACUUAAUGGAAAGUUUUGUUGAUAGUUAUGUUCGGUCUAAUGCACCAAAUCCACUAGAUCCUUUAGGGUUAUUUUAAUUUUAGGUUUGACCCCGUAACGACUCAUGUUGAAAGACACAUGGACUCAUGCGCUGAGGAAUCAUUUCUAUGAAAAUGACUGCUCGCAUGGGUAAGAUGCAGCCCCCCUACUUCAUUAUGAAUGAGGGGGAAGGUAUAGUCUGCGCUCCUAGAAAUAGGGGAAUAAAAACAUUGAAUUAUGUUUUAGUGACGAGAGGACCGGAGUGAACUGACCUCUGGUGUGGCUGCUGUCCUGCCAAGGGCACCGCAGCGUAGCUAUGUCGGGAAUGGAUAACCUCUGAAAGCAUCUAAGAGGGAAGCCAACCCCAAGAUCAGAAUUCGUUUGAGGCCCGUGAGAGAUGAUCACGUUGAUAGGCUCUAUGUGUAAGACGAGUAAUCGUUUCAGCAGAGGAGUACUAAUACGCCGAUUCUUAUUGGGAA